GCCCWACACAUGCAAGUCGAACCGGUUCCGGCUCGUCCGGGACANGUGGCGAACGGCUGAAGUAACACGGUGAGCAACCUGCCUCUAAGUGGGGGAUAACUCCGGGAAACUGGAGCUAAUACCGCAUGUGGUAGUAAGGCGAAGGCCUUACUAAGAAAGCCGCAAGGCGCUUAGAGAGGGGCUUGCGUCCUAUCAGGUAGUUGGUGAGGUAAUGGCCCACCAAGCCUAUGACGGGUAGCUGGUCUGAGAGGAUGACCAGCCAGACGGGGACUGAGACACGGCCCCGACUCCUACGGGGGGCAGCAGCAAGGGAUUUUGGGCAAUGGGCGAAAGCCUGACCCAGCGACACCGCGUGGGGGAUGAAGGCCUUCGGGUUGUAAACCCCUUUUCUCAGGGAAAGAAUAAUGACGGUACCUGAGGAAUAAGCCUCGGCUAACUACGUGCCAGCAGCCGCGGUAAUACAAGGGCGAAAUUCGUUNAACCUCAGACNNGNCCUUUGNANGGU
rnacentral:rRNA from 1 species